CCAGGAAACUGCAAUUUGUGGACGAGUUUGCAAGUGAAUUUUUGAAGGCAAAUAUUUUGCAGGUGACAUUUUAAAUGUGGCAUUAGAUACAUAAUUGCACAGGAUAAAAAAAUAUGUAUAAAUUCAAUGUCUAAAAAAAAUGUCUGAUUUUAAUUUGACUAAUUUUUUCAUAAGAAAAUCACUGACAGUCUCUAAUAACUUGGAAUCGUUUUGCUCAUGAGCUCCACUGUAAAAGAAAAAACUGAACAACAACUGUCAAACGGGUCAUAAUUAACUGGGUUUUCAUCGAGACGAUGAUCCCAAACGCAGCAGUAAAUUUAUAACAGAGUAGCUGAAAAAAAAAGAAAAAAAGAAUCAAGUUGUUUCAAUGGUCCUGUCAAAGUCCAGGCUUCUACUUGAUGGAUUACUGCUGGGGAAAAAAAACCUCAAUAAACUGAAGAGCAGUUAAAAACAGCAGUGGAUGAAGCGAUUUGUGAAACUGAUGUGAGGUUUUCUGCUUUUCCAAGCUGUUGUAUGGAUACACAGUUAUUUUUCACCACAGUUAUAGUCUGAAUGUGUGGAGGAUGACAUGGUGAAAGAGAUUCGAAUCUUAAAUGAUUACUAGGUGUGGAAAACAAAUGAAUUAAAUGAAUCUCAGUGACACGUGGGCACCAGUAUUUAAAAUAUGAGGUCUAACAGGUUUAAGCCCCGCCCCUUUUCUGACACACCUGGAAAAAUCCCGAGGCUGUGAACUCUACAUGCAGAGACUUCAUCUGGAAUAUUUUGGAUGCAAGAACUGAUUUAUUCUCCGGUGGUGGAUAAAUGCAGGCCAGGUUCCCGUUCCGGAUCCCAAUCCAGAUUCUGGAUUCUGAGCGUCUGUUGCCAAGUGGACCAGACUGGCGAGCUAAAUCACACAGCCAAUCAAGAAGAAACGUCACAUCCUGUCAACUCCUCCCCAUCUGGAGCUGAACUGGUUCAAUUCCUUGGAUAAAAGGGGAAAACACAUCUUGGAUUUCAUGAACUAUUUUGAACAACUUGUCUGUAUAUUUAGUAAAUAUCAAUACAUUUCACUAGUUUUGCACCAU